UUGGUCAAGAUUACAAGGGCGCAGGGCGGAUGCCUUGGCACCAGGAGCCGAAGAAGGACGUGAUAAGCUGCGAAAAGCUGCGGGGAGGAGCAAAUAUCCAUUGAUCCGCAGGUAUCCGAAUGGGGAAACCCGAUAAAGUUGAAAAGCGUUAUCAUCCUUAAGCCAAUACAUAACUUAAGAGAAGGCAACCCAGGGAUUUGAAACAUCUUAGUACCUGGAGGAGAAGAAAAUAACAAUGAUUCCGAGAGUAGUGGCGAGCGAAAUCGGAGCAGCCCAAACCAGCAACGAGCUGGGGUAGUAGGACCACGACAAGUGAUUGAAAAGAGAUAGUCGAAUGGCAUUGAAAGGUCAGCCGCAGAAGGUGCAAGCCCUGUAGGCGAAAUCUCGAUUCACGCGAGUGGGAUCCUGAGUACGUCGGAGCACGUGAAACUCUGACGGAAUCAACCGGGACCAUCCGGUAAGGCUAAAUACUCCUAUAUGACCGAUAGUGAACCAGUACCAUGAGGGAAAGAUGAAAAGAACCGCGGGAGCGGAGUGAAAU
rnacentral:rRNA from 1 species